CCUACGGGGGGCAGCAGUGGGGGAUAUUGCACAAUGGGGGAAACCCUGAUGCAGCGACGCCGCGUGGGCGAAGAAGUAUUUCGGUAUGUAAAGCCCUAUCAGCAGGGAAGAAGAAAUGACGGUACCUGAGUAAGAAGCACCGGCUAAAUACGUGCCAGCAGCCGCGGUAAUACGUAUGGUGCAAGCGUUAUCCGGAUUUACUGGGUGUAAAGGGAGCGCAGGCGGCACGGCAAGCCUGAUGUGAAAGCCCGCGGCCCAACCGCGGGACUGCAUUGGGAACUACCGGGCUGGAGUGCCGGAGAGGUAGGCGGAAUUCCUAGUGUAGCGGUGAAAUGCGUAGAUAUUAGGAGGAACACCAGUGGCGAAGGCGGCUUACUGGACGGUGACUGACGCUGAGGCUCGAAAGCGUGGGGAGCAAACAGGAUUAGAUACCCCAGUAGUC
rnacentral:rRNA from 1 species